AUGUAUAAAGUACAAGUUAAAGAUCAAGGUAUUUAUAUGCCUUGAACAUGUAUUUUCUUUUAAUUGCGCUCAUGCUACAAGUGUAUACGCUGAAAGUCGGAUAUCUAAAGCACACAUUUAAAAAGAAUGAAUAUUCUUUCAAAAGUAUAAAUUCUGAAAGACUUGUAUCUGGAGUAUACAUUUUAUAUAUACAUUUGUAUGCACCGAAAACAUUUUUUUUUUUAUAAAUUUCCUUUCUUUCUUUUAAAUAUUCAAAUGAAAUAAACAAUAAAUGAUACAAAUUUUAAACAAAUCUGCCUCCAACAUCAGCCAGUUCUCUGCAGCGUAGAAACAUCAGUUGUCGGUCAUGUGGCACCAAGUCUGCUGUUUCGCGUUGUUCACAUCGGCGUCCCAUAGUUCCGUAAUAAUUCUCUGUUGUUGUUGAAUUCUAUAUGCACACAUCUCGUUGCGGAGUAGCGGAGCAGGCCGUGGGAUCCUGAAUUUGCUAAUCACUAAAACACUCCAGUUAGUCUUAAUAUGUUAAUUCUUUACAGUUUUCAGCUAGAGCAGUCUUCAGCUAGGGCAAAAUAUAGUCUUCAUAUCAGCUUAGUAAAUAGUCUUCAUAAUCAAUUGAAUUGCAAACUGCAUCGGGUAUUUUCAAUAAGAAUUGCAUGGGGAAUAAAAGUAUAAUACUCUGACGAGAAUCUGACAUCGUGUAAAUAUAUCUGUUGCUAAAAUGUUUCUUGUCUGUCUUGUUUCUUUGUUGUUUUCUACACAGAAUUUCAGAUUAUUUCUUUCUUUCAUUUUAACAUUUUUCAUAAAUUCUGUCUGAACAAAGUUUCUUUAAUUGUAGAUGGAGAGAAAGACAAAUAUAUUAUUAUAGCUCGAGGUUAUUUUUCGUUGAUUGUUGUAUUAUUCAUGAUUUUAUCUUUAUCACAUUGACGUUCCACCAGGAAGUUGCUGAUAUAGUUGACUGAUAAUAAGUCCUUGAGGGCUGUUAUUGUUACGCAGUUUCUCAUUGGUCAAUAUCGUGCGUUCAACCGUGAAUUUGUCAGUCCCCUUUUGCAUUUGUGGCAGAAACUGUUAGCUAACUGGCAUUGUACUUCUUGCUUGUAUUGUGUGCAGACGUGUUUUAGAAAUUUUGCUUGAAAUUUAAUUAAAGUUCCACCGUAAUACGAGCACUCAGAUAUAAUAAAAGGAUAUAACAAUGGACAUGAGGAAUGAUUACACGUAUUCAAGUUAUUAUAAGGUGCUAGGAGAUAUUUACCAUGACACCGGAUUUUGUAACAGGUGCGUGUAUAAACCUAUCAUGACACCGCUUUCUGGAACAGGUGCGUGGAGAAAUUUAUCAUGACACCAGUUAAUGUAAACAGGUGCGUGGAGAAACUUAUCGUGACACCGGUUUUUAAUACUCUACAGACUGCAGCUGACAUUAAAUUGCAGAAACAAAACACAAAAUAUACAUUAAAAAUGUUAGCCAGACAAUUUUUUUUUCCACUUUAUUGUAAGCAUUAAUCAAUAACCAUUAUUGUAAAUCUCACAUUAUGACUGUUUUCAUGCGUCUUACAAUACUAAAGUAUGCUUAAACUAGUGAACCUCACGAUAUAAUUGUUCUCACAGGUCUCAGAACACUAAAUGAUUUGACAUUAAAAUAUUCUGAUAACAAUAAUUACAAAUGUGAAUAACAGCAUAGGCAUUCUGUUCUAAACAGAAUUAAAGAAAUAAAAUGUUACUUUGUGGUUGUAUCUUGUAUUUUCUACUAGCCUUUUACUAUGCAGAAAAUAUAACUUUGUGCAUUAGGAACUUAACCAACACCGAACAAUUAUAAUAAUAAA
rnacentral:lncRNA from 1 species